rnacentral:misc_RNA from 1 species
AUGACUUGUAGUCAACCUUUUAUCUAUGUAUAUACACACAAAAUCUAUGAAUUUGGUCUACCUAUCUGCAAAAUCUACUCUCUCUCUCUAAAUUUUCAUUUCAUUUGGGUAGAUCAAUCAAUUAAUCAUCGCAGGAAAAGAUCGAACCAUGAUGAUAUCUUCAUCUUCAACACCAGUUCUAGUCUUUGCUCUAUAUGCUCUCUGCAUAGUUGUGGUGUUUGAUUUAGUUCGUGCACAGAAUCAAACUCAAGCUACUUUAGAUCCGAAUGAAGCGAGAGCAUUGAACUCUAUUUUUCAAAAAUGGGAGAUAUCUGCUAACCAAGAUCAAUGGAACAUAAGCGGAGAACUGUGCAGUGGAGCAGCCCUCGGUUCCUCUCCUACUAUCGACGUGCCGACUUACAACCCCUUUAUCAAAUGUGAUUGCUCUGACAAUAAUGGCACCACUUGUCAUAUCACUGCUCUGAAAGUUCAAGCAAUCGAUGUUGUUGGUGUAAUUCCAGAUGAGCUAUGGACUUUGACUUCACUUACCAAUUUGAAUUUGUUUCAGAAUUACUUGACCGGUAACUUGUCUCCAUCCAUUGGCAAUUUAACUCGCAUGCAAUACCUGAAUAUUGGCAUUAAUUCACUAUCAGGGAAACUUCCUAAGGAACUCGGGUUGCUCACUGAUCUAAGAUCCAUUGGUUUUGGAUCAAACAACUUCUCUGGUCCUCUGCCAUCUGAGCUUGGGAAUUGUACGAAGCUACAACAAAUUUAUUUUGAUAGCUCUGGAGUUAGUGGUGACAUUCCUUCAACAUAUGCUAACCUAAAGAGCAUGGUUACUGUGUGGGCAUCAGACAAUGAACUUACUGGCGGGAUACCUGACUUCAUAGGGAAUUGGUCAAAGCUUAACUCCUUAAGGUUUGAAGGGAACUCCUUUGAAGGUCCAAUACCACCAACAUUGUCCAACCUAACUUCUUUGACAGAGCUGAGAAUAAGCGAUUUAUCAAAUGGAAGCUCUUCGUUGGCGUUUAUUAAGGACUUGAAGUCUCUAACUAUCUUGGUGCUAAGGAAUGACAACAUUUCAGAUGCAAUUCCAUCCAAUAUUGGAGAAUACCAGAAUUUGACACAGUUGGAUUUGAGCUUCAACAACAUAACUGGACAGAUACCAGACACACUUUUCAAUUUGAGCCAGCUUAAUUUCUUGUUUCUUGGAAAUAACAAGUUAGAUGGUCCUCUACCUGCACAAAAGAGUACAUCACUUCUAAAUAUAGAUGUUUCAUACAAUAAUUUAGCUGGCAGCUUACCUUCCUGGGUCAAUGAUCAAAAUUUACAAGUUAAUUUGGUUGCCAACAACUUCACAAUAGACCUUUCAAAUAGCAGUGGUUUGCCAUCAGGCCUGAACUGUCUUCAACGUAACUUUCCUUGUAAUCGAGGCUUUCCUGUCUAUUCUGAAUUUGCAGUAAAGUGUGGUGGUCCACCGAUUACAUCAUCCAAUGGGAUUGUAUAUGAGAGGGAAAAUGAGACUCUUGGUCCGGCAACAUAUUAUGUUACUGGCAAAAGCAGAUGGGGUGUCAGUAAUGUUGGAUAUUUUACUGGAAGCAGCAAACCUCAGUAUAUACUUUUCUCAUCAUCUCAAUUCACAAAUACUUUAGAUUCUGAGUUAUUCCAGACAGCAAGGAUCUCUGCUUCAUCCCUAAGAUACUAUGGUUUGGGGCUUGAGAAUGGCAAUUACACUGUCAAGCUUCAGUUUGCAGAAACUGCAAUUGAGGAUGGUAACACGUGGAGGAGUCUUGGGAGGCGUGUUUUUGAUGUUUAUGUCCAGGGGAAUCGUGUUUUAAAGGAUUUUGACAUAAGAAAGGAGGCAGGUGGAGUCUCUAAACGAGCUGUUGAAAAGGACUUCACGGCCCAGGUAUCUGAAAAUUACCUUGAAAUACAUUUGUUUUGGGCUGGAAAGGGGACUUGCUGCAUUCCUUUACAAGGUACAUAUGGACCUUCUAUUUCAGCAAUCAGCGCUAAGCCAGAUUUCAUACCAACUGUCAGUAACAACCCUCCAACCAGUAAAAAGAAUAGGACCGGUCUAAUUGUGGGGAUUGUUGUUGGGGUUGGAGCAGCAAGCUUUCUUCUUGUUUUGGUGGUUUUCUUUGUCAUUCAAAGAAGAAAAAGUACAAGCACCUAUAAUGAUGAAGGUAAACUAAAAAAUUAUGUCCCAUAUAUGCAGUAGCUAUCUGAAUAACUUUUUUCUGUUAAUAUGUAUGUUGUAAAUACUGCUGUUAGCCAAUAUGAUUUAAUUAACUUUGAUGUUUAGCAUUUAAGAAAUGUGUCAUAUCAAAUUCAAAAGGGGAUGAAUAAGAAUAUAAGCUUCUUCUAAUUUUCCUUGUGCCACUGUGACUUUUAUUGGAGCCUUUGCAACUUAAAAUAUAAUUCAAUGGAUAGUCAAAUAGUUUUCUUGAAUAAAUCGCGUUUGUGUUGAGAUUGCAGAGCUCCUAGGCAUAGAUGCUAGACCAUACACUUUUAGUUAUGCUGAACUGAAGACUGCUACAGAGGACUUUAGUCAUGCAAAUAAGCUUGGAGAGGGAGGAUUUGGACCAGUUUAUAAGGUAUGUAAUUUUUUAACUCAAGGAUAAACAAAUCGUUGAGCACACAUUGUAUAUUGUUAUUCUUUUAUCUCCAUCUAAUGUUUCUCCUACAAGAGAAUGUUGAAUAAAUUGAGAUCUGUUAUUAACUAGACAAGCUACCUUCAAUCAGCUGUAAACAUGAUGUUGAUUGCAGUCCUCGAUAUCCAGUAUAUUUUCUAGAAUCAUUUAUUUUUUACAUAACAUAUAUAGUUGAUUUGUCUGGGGUGAGCCUUGGUGUGACGGCAAGGAUGCUCCAUCAUGACCUGGAGCUAGAGGUCACAUGUUGAAACUACAUAAACAGCCUCCCCGCAAUGCAUGGAGAAGCCUGCAUGCCUUGGAGCUCACAAUAUGUGAAGCCUUGUGCACUAGGAUGUUCUUUUUAAGUGGCUAAGUUUUCUAACUUAUAGGAAGUGUAAAAUAUAUGGAUCUAUUUUAGCUAAAGUCACUGUACACUGAACUUUUAUCUUCAAUUCACAGUAUUAGGAGAAUGGGAUAAUGAAUGAGGUUUUAUUUUAUUUUCAUUCAUGGUGGAUCCUUGUUUUCUCAUCUGACUUGUCUAAAAUUUGUCUUCAAUAGGGAAAACUUGGUGAUGAGAGGGUGAUUGCUGUUAAGCAACUUUCUAUGGCAUCCCACCAAGGAAAGAGUCAAUUUGUAACAGAGAUUGCUACCAUAUCUGCUGUGCAACAUCGCAACCUUGUGAAAUUGUAUGGAUGCUGCAUUGAGGGCAAUAAUCAGCUCCUUGUUUAUGAGUAUCUUGAGAAUAAGAGCCUGGAUCAAGCACUAUUUGAAAAAACAAAUUUGAAUCUCGACUGGCCAACACGUUAUGAGAUAUGCUUAGGAGUAGCCAGAGGUCUUGCUUAUCUUCACGAGGAGUCAAGGCUUCGAAUUGUACAUAGAGAUGUGAAGGCUAGCAAUAUUCUGCUUGAUUCUGAUCUCAUCCCCAAAAUUUCAGAUUUUGGUUUGGCUAAGCUAAAUGAAGAUGACAAUACCCAUAUCAGCACCCGGGUUGCUGGAACUAUUGGCUAUAUGGCUCCAGAGUAUGCAAUGCAUGGACAUUACUCUGUGAAGUCAGAUGUAUAUAGUUUUGGCGUCUUAAUUCUUGAGAUAAUAAGCGGCAAAAAGAACAGUUCUUUUUGUCAAUCAGAUGGAGCUGAGGACCUCUUGAGCUAUGUGAGUAUUAACCAUAUAUAUACUUUUUUAUUUUUAUAAAUUAUGGAACUUUAUUAAUAAAAUCUAGAAAAAAACUCAUCUUAGAGAUGUUGAAACUAAACCUAGAUUAUUAGACCAUCCUAUUACACCCAGAACUAAGUACCGCAAGUUGAAAAAACCUGGUAGAAUUACUAAUAACCUUCCAAAAGUCACACCAAUUCCAAAAUCAAGCCAACCGUUCUACAAUCUAUCACUAUUCUUUAACCUUCUGCAACUUUCCUACAUGAGUGUUAACCAGUUACUCUUGGCUUUUCUAUAUAUGCAUAAUCAUUAACAUUGCUUAACAAUGUGUUGCAGGCAUGGAAACAUUGGUGCAAUGAGACACCACUGCAAUUUAUGGAUCCAGUUCUCAGAGAUUCUUAUAAAAGAAAUGAGAUCAUUAGAUGCAUGCAUCUUGGUUUGUUGUGUGUUCAGGAAAAUCCAGGUGAUAGGCCUACCAUGAAAUCAAUAAUUAUCAUGCUUAGCAGUUCCUCCAUUGCUUUGCCACUGCCAGAACAACCUGGAUUUUUCCUUCACGGUGGAAUAGACAUGGAAACCCAAUCAAAGGAGCUGGAAUCUAAUCAAUCUGCUAGUAGGUCUAUACAAUUAUCUGUCAAUGAAAUGUCAGUUACUGAAUUAUACCCUCGUUAGAGCAAGUAAUUAGCCGAUAAUAAGGUUUCUGUAAAAGCUUGUUGAUCGAGAAUACAUUUUUUGAUCGCACUGAUUAUGAAAGCGUUUGGUUUGAUUUAUA